GGGCGCUUAGCUCAGUUGGCAAGAGCGCUUCCCUUACAAGGAAGAAGUCGGGGGUUCGAGUCCCUCAGCGCCCA
rnacentral:tRNA from 1 species